CAGCCGUAAAACUAUGCGCGUUAGGUGUAUCGGUGACCACGAGUCACCGAGGUGCCGAAGGGAAACCGUGAAACGUGCCGCCUGGGAAGUACGGUCGCAAGGCUGAAACUUAAAGGAAUUGGCGGGGGAGCACCACAACAGGUGGAGCCUGCGGUUUAAUUGGACUCAACGCCGGGAAGCUCACCGGAUAGGACGACAGCAAUAUGUAGGCCAGGCUGAAGACCUUGCCUGAAUCGCUGAGAGGAGGUGCAUGGCGUAGACGUCU
rnacentral:rRNA from 1 species